rnacentral:rRNA from 1 species
UCGCUCCUACCGAUUUCGAGUGAUGAUGUGAAUCCUUCGGACUGGCUCACGCUAGAAAGUUGAGUAAACAUUAUCACUUAGAGGAAGGAG